rnacentral:rRNA from 1 species
UACGAAGGGGGCUAGCGUUGCUCGGAAUCACUGGGCGUAAAGCGCACGUAGGCGGCUUGCUAAGUCAGGGGUGAAAUCCUGGAGCUCAACUCCAGAACUGCCUUUGAUACUGGUAGUCUAGAGUCCGGAAGAGGUGAGUGGAAUUCCGAGUGUAGAGGUGAAAUUCGUAGAUAUUCGGAGGAACACCAGUGGCGAAGGCGGCUCACUGGUCCGGUACUGACGCUGAGGUGCGAAAGCGUGGGGAGCAAACAGG